rnacentral:rRNA from 1 species
GACGUAGGGGGCCAGCGUUGUUCGGAAUUACUGGGUGUAAAGGGUUCGUAGGCGGUUCUGCAAGUUGGGCGUGAAAUCUCUGGGCUUAACCCAGAGGCUGCUUCCAAAACUGCUGUGCUUGAGUGUGGGAGAGGCGCGUGGAAUUGCAGGUGUAGCGGUGAAAUGCGUAGAUAUCUGCAGGAACACCCGUGGCGAAAGCGGCGCGCUGGACCACUACUGACGCUGAGGAACGAAAGCUAGGGGAGCAAACAGG